GGAGCAGUGGUGAAAUGCAUCUGACUACAGAUCAGAAGAUUGUAGGUUUGAUUCCUGCCUGGCUCG
rnacentral:tRNA from 1 species